UAAAUCGAUACUGCUGGUGUGACCAUUGC
rnacentral:sRNA from 1 species